rnacentral:rRNA from 1 species
UACGUAGGGUGCUAGCGUUGUCCGGAAUCAUUGGGCGUAAAGCGCGCGUAGGCGGCCCGGUAAGUCCGCUGUGAAAGUCAAAGGCUCAACCUUUGAAUGUCAGCGGAUACUGCCGGGCUAGAGUCCGGAAGAGGCGAGUGGAACUCCUGGUGUAGCGGUGGAAUGCGCAGAUAUCAGGAAGAACACCAACGGCGAAGGCAGCUCGCUGGGACGGAACUGACGCUGAGGCGCGAAAGCGUGGGGAGCGAACAGG